AGCGGCGGACGGGUUAGUAACGCGUGGNAAUAUGCCCUUCUCUAAGGAAUAGCCACUGGANACGGUGAGUAAUACCUUAUACGCCCUUCGGGGGAAAGAUUUAUCGGAGAAGGAUUAGCCCGCGUAAGAUUAGAUAGUUGGUGGGGUAAUGGCCUACCAAGUCUACGAUCUUUAGCUGGUUUUAGAGGAUGAUCAGCAACACUGGGACUGAGACACGGCCCAGACUCCUACGGGAGGCAGCAGUGGGGAAUCUUGGACAAUGGGCGCAAGCCUGAUCCAGCCAUGCCGCGUGAGUGAUGAAGGCCUUAGGGUCGUAAAGCUCUUUCGCCAGAGAUGAUAAUGACAGUAUCUGGUAAAGAAACCCCGGCUAACUCCGUGCCAGCAGCCGCGGUAAUACGGAGGGGGUUAGCGUUGUUCGGAAUUACUGGGCGUAAAGCGCACGUAGGCGGAUCAGAAAGUAAGGGGUGAAAUCCCAGGGCUCAACCCUGGAACUGCCUCUUAAACUCCUGGUCUUGAGUUCGAGAGAGGUGAGUGGAAUUCCGAGUGUAGAGGUGAAAUUCGUANAUAUUCGGAGGAACACCAGUGGCGAANGCGGCUCACUGGCUCNAUACUGACGCUGAGGUGCGAAAGUGUGGGGAGCAAACAGGAUUAGAUACCCUGGUAGUCCACACCGUAAAC
rnacentral:rRNA from 1 species